rnacentral:tRNA from 1 species
UGGCUCAACGGUAGAGCGUUUGACUCAAAAACCAAAGAUACCGGGUUCGAGUCCCAG